rnacentral:rRNA from 1 species
UCCUGGCUCAGGACGAACGCUGGCGGCGUGCCUAAUACAUGCAAGUCGAGCGGAUCUUGUUUGGAAGCUUGCUUCCGAACUUGGUUAGCGGCGGACGGGUGAGUAACACGUAGGCAACCUGCCCUCAAGAUCGGGAUAACAUUCGGAAACGAAUGCUAAGACCGGAUACGCAGUUUNGUGGCAUCACGGAACUGGGAAACACGGAGCAAUCUGUGGCUUGGGGAUGGGCCUGCGGCGCAUUAGCUAGUUGGUGGGGUAACGGCUCACCAAGGCGACGAUGCGUAGCCGACCUGAGAGGGUGAACGGCCACACUGGGACUGAGACACGGCCCAGACUCCUACGGGAGGCAGCAGUAGGGAAUCUUCCACAAUGGGCGCAAGCCUGAUGGAGCAACGCCGCGUGAGUGAGGAAGGCUUUCGGGUCGUAAAGCUCUGUUGCCAGGGAAGAAUAAGAGUGAGAGUAACUGCUCACUUGAUGACGGUACCUGAGAAGAAAGCCCCGGCUAACUACGUGCCAGCAGCCGCGGUAAUACGUAGGGGGCAAGCGUUGUCCGGAAUUAUUGGGCGUAAAGCGCGCGCAGGCGGUCUUUUAAGUCUGGUGUCUAAGUGCGGGGCUCAACCCCGUGUCGCACUGGAAACUGGGAGACUUGAGUGCAGAAGAGGAGAGCGGAAUUCCACGUGUAGCGGUGAAAUGCGUAGAGAUGUGGAGGAACACCAGUGGCGAAGGCGGCUCUCUGGACUGUAACNGACGNGA